UGGGGAAUUUUGGACAAUGGGGGAAACCCUGAUCCAGCCAUCCCGCGUGUGCGAUGAAGGCCUUCGGGUUGUAAAGCACUUUUGGCAGGAAAGAAACGUCAUGGGUUAAUACCCCGUGAAACUGACGGUACCUGCAGAAUAAGCACCGGCUAACUACGUGCCAGCAGCCGCGGUAAUACGUAGGGUGCAAGCGUUAAUCGGAAUUACUGGGCGUAAAGCGUGCGCAGGCGGUUCGGAAAGAAAGAUGUGAAAUCCCAGAGCUCAACUUUGGAACUGCAUUUUUAACUACCGGGCUAGGGUGUGUCAGAGGGAGGUGGAAUUCCGCGUGUAGCAGUGAAAUGCGUAGAUAUGCGGAGGAACACCGAUGGCGAAGGCAGCCUACUGGGAUAACACUGACGCUAAUGCACGAAAGCGUGGGGAGCAAACAGG
rnacentral:rRNA from 1 species